CAAUUGUAUAAACAUACUUAAUAUACUGAUAUAAUUGUUGAUACCAAAUCUCUCUAAGCUAUGCUUGGCGAUGCUAGGUGAGAUUUGGGAGUCUUGUAUAAUAUAUCUAAUUUAAAUGACUAACAUUUUUUUAAUUUUAAUAUUAAUGUUGAAUGAUUUUUCAAUAAAAAGGACAGAUUUUCCUUUUGAUUAUAAAAUAUGUUUUACAUUAUAUUCAUAAUUUUUAUUAUAC